AACGAACGCUGGCGGCAUGCCUAACACAUGCGAGUCGAACGAGACCUUCGGGUCUAGUGGCGCACGGGUGCGUAACGCGUGGGAACCUGCCCUUAGGUUCGGAAUAACUCCCCGAAAGGGGUGCUAAUACCGGAUAAUGUCUUCGGACCAAAGAUUUAUCGCCUGUGGAUGGGCCCGCGUUGGAUUAGCUAGUUGGUAGGGUAAAAGCCUACCAAGGCGACGAUCCAUAGCUGGUCUGAGAGGAUGAUCAGCCACACUGGGACUGAGACACGGCCCAGACUCCUACGGGAGGCAGCAGUGGGGAAUAUUGGACAAGGGGCGAAAGCCUGAUCCAGCAAUGCCGCGUGAGUGAUGAAGGCCUUAGGGUUGUAAAGCUCUUUUACCCGGGAUGAUAAGGACAGUACCGGGAGAAUAAGCUCCGGCUAACUCCGU
rnacentral:rRNA from 1 species